rnacentral:lncRNA from 1 species
AGGGGCAGACUGCCUGCCAGGGCUGUUCUGUGCCCAGGGUCUUCUUGCCACCAUGAUUCCAUCUGACACCAAACCCUUUCUGCUUCUUGUAGAGGACCCUGCCUGGCUCCUUAGCUAUGGAGGAGGCACAAGACCAGGUUCACUGUAGAACCUCGGCCCUGGCCACAGUGACCUGGAGCCAAAAUCCCUUUAUGACAUCUUCAGAGUUGGGAGAGAAGCCUCCUUCCCCUCGGGCCAGGGCUGUUGAAAGGCACAUGUGAGGCUGGGUUACCAGGUGCCAUAUUGUCCAUCACGUGGAGAAAUCUGUCUCCACUCGAGGGGGCCAGAGCAUCACCUGGGGAGAGGACGUCGUGCUGACUUUGAGCCCUGCUCCUGGCCUCCACACUGCUGCAAGUCCUGAUUACAGCUUUGCUGAGUACACAGAGCCUCCCUUGGCUCCGCAAACCCCCCAGGACCACUGCGCUGUCUCCCCACCAUCUAUUCUAAGCAGGUGUGAGCUGGAGUCAUAACCAUUCUCGAAGCAAGCCCCACUGCUGAGGAUGCAGAGCCUAGGAGGAAGUAACAUGCCUCGGCAUGGUGCAAGCCUUGGAAAAUCAGACCAGGAGUGGCUCAGUUGUUACCCUGACCGGGAGAGAGCCCUGAAAAAUGAUGACAACAGUGAAGGCAGUUCGUGUCAUUCAAAGAGGAGGAGGUGACCCCU